GCAGGAGAUUUUUUAAUGCUCUCUAGGUGAUUCUGAUGUCAGCAAAGAUGGAGAACCACUGAUGUAGUCAAUGAGAAGUAAUAGGGGUUAUUUUUCAGAACAGCGUUUUGAGUUAAUUUGAAAGGAGGGAAAAUCUCAGGGCGAAGGUUAUUGUGGUGAGGUUAUAAGGUGAGGUCAAAGGUUAGCAAGGAGGUCUGGGUGGGCAUGGGGUCAGUUACACAGUAUGCUCUUAAAUGAUAGCGGGUAAAGUGAGCUGAACUUAAUCUGAAAAAAAAAAAAAAAGGAGUUCUGGCAUCCUAAGGUGGUGUUCAGCAAAGGGCAGUGUCAGGACAGUACCUCAGCUGAAGACCUUCAGGUCCAUGGAAGACAGUGCAUGGAUUAUUCUGAAGAAUGACUUUCCGACAAUCUGCCCCCAGCUGUGUGUUGCAAUGCGCGUGGCGGAGCUGCGCUUCCAAAGAGGCUGGCUCAGUGGGGCUGCGGUGAUGUCUCCUUCCAGGUCCCAGCAUGGAUGACCCUGUUCUUCUUGGAGAUUCUGCUGCUCUUUCCUGGAUCAUCUUGGAGAGGUUCCGUCGAGACUCCCUGGGCUCACUUGGAACUCAUUACCGAAUGUCUAUGCCUCCACGCCUGUCCCCUCAGCCCGCACAGACACAGAGCCAGCAGCCCAGAACUGCCAGCUGGCUCACCACCGAAAUGAGGGUGAGCACCGGGCUUUUCUUCAAAGCGCUCCACCUGGUUUUGCAAAUAACUAUUACAGACCUUUCCUGCAGCAAGUCUAGGGGAGACAAGUCAAACAACGGCAGCAGAUGUUCUCCAGCCUUCGAAACCAACGAGUCUCCACACUUGUCAGCUGACGUGGCUCACAGGGUCCAGGAUUAACAGCACAGGCCUCUGUGAUUUGUCUGGUGAAGUAACACGGCAGCUCACAGAGGUUUAAUCAUUGCCCACUGGCCCCACCAAAAUAGCACAGGAGAUUAUGAAACUCCUUAUGCUUCACAGAGUGACAGCUGUGUGGCCCUCGUAGACUCCUCUCCCUCGAGAUCCACUCAGGAGGACUCUGCUGGGCUGUUCUCACAGUCUCGGCGGCUUAGCCAAGGAAGAGCUUCAUUUCUCGGGGCUGGGCUCACACUAUGUGCAUCCCGAGCCCACUUCCUAGGCCUGAGGCCUUCCUGGCAGCUCCUCCUAACUGCCGGGCUGGCUGUUCUCAGGAAGGAGCCUACAGGGACACAUCUCAGCUGCACGUUCUCACAUAUGCCCAAGGCUGCCAAGCAGCGUCCAGUGAGCUGUGUGCUGGAGGCUGUGCCCAGGCUCCCCUGCCAAGCCCCCAGGCCCUUAAUGAGGGGUGGGACCCAUGGGAGUUGUUUGCAUUAGUCCAUGGCAGCAUCCUCAGCAGCCCACCAUGAACCUUUCCUGGGCCUGAGUUAACGACCUGCUAUGGCUCCCACUUGCCUCCCAGCCAGGCCAGUGGGUUCCUUCCCAGCACCAGCCUGCUCUGCAAUUCAGACCAGGGCACACUUCAACCCAGACACUCAAAGAUGCCCUCCUGAGUCGUGGCACCCAGGUUAGCAUAUGGUCCUCUAGAAAGGGGACUGGGAAACUGCCCAGCAUGGAGUCCAAAUUCAGCUAGUAAAGAUGGGAAGACAAUUUUCUUCUGGAUCCCGCUAUUGACUUCCUUCAGCAGUUCUCAGAAAACUACAGUUGGACAGAGAAGUGCCAGUUUCUGUCUGCCUUUGGACAGAACCUGCUAUACCUCUACUAAAUGACCAUCUGGCUCCAGACCCCUCAGGGUCAGCUGAUUCCCGUAAAUCCAUGGUCUUCCAUCAGGGAGGUUCAUGGGACUCCCCAUCAGGGAGGGGGAACGGGCUCCACCGGCCGAGAUUUGAGUUCGAUGAGUCUGGGUCAGGGUUGACACACAGUUCCUCACCCCCAUAACCCAAAGCCUUGAAUUUCAUAGACAUAAAGGAAAGACAGAAGGGAACUUGAGAAAUGAUCUCAGUUGACAGAAGACAGUCUCACCCGAUAGGGGACCAUCAGCUCACGGGUUUCAGCUAAAGAUCAGCAGAGGUGACAUGCUGCAGAGCCGAAUGGAGCAAGUAAUUGGCACUUCUCCGGCCUGCUUCAUCCUCUCCUUCGCUGGAGAGACAUCACUAGAUAUCAGGAAUCACUAGGCAGGAAUCUCCUCAUAAUUAGUCCCCAGGACAGCCAAGUUCUUGCCACCUGGGGAACAAAGGCAACCCCUGGGGUCUGUCAGGUGCAACUCACGGCCAGGACCUCAGUGGGAGGCUGGCUAGAGGCAGCCACCCCAAAGCCAGAGGACUCACCCCUCCUAAAGGGAUGCUGCGCUCAGUCCUGAUGGGGACGGGGGCAGGGGAUGUGUGCGGGGACAGCCUGACCAUAGCUCAGCAGGAAGCAAGCCAUGUAUUUAUUUAUGGUGAGGACCACAUUUCACCCUCGGUUUAGCUGGCUCCAAGCGAGCAGUGCAAUCUCAGCUCUGGGAGGAAGUUUGUGGUUCGCUUU
rnacentral:lncRNA from 1 species